rnacentral:rRNA from 1 species
UACAGAGGUCCCGAGCGUUGUUCGGAUUCACUGGGCGUAAAGGGUGCGCAGGCGGCCAAGUGUGUUAGGCGUGAAAGCCCGGGGCUUAACCCCGGAAUUGCACCUAAAACUACUUGGCUAGAGCAUUGGAGAGGGUAGCGGAAUUCACGGUGUAGCAGUGAAAUGCGUAGAUAUCGUGAGGAACACCAGAGGCGAAGGCGGCUACCUGGACAAUUGCUGACGCUCAGGCACGAAAGCGUGGGGAGCAAAAGGG